UACAGAGGGUGCGAGCGUUGUUCGGAAUUAUUGGGCGUAAAGCGCUUGUAGGCAGCUUGUUAAGUUCCGUGUGAAAUCCCCAGGCUUAACCUGGGAAGUGCGCGGAAAACUGGGCGAGCUUGAGUGCCGGAGAGGGUCGCGGAAUUCCCGGUGUAGAGGUGAAAUUCGUCAGAUAUCGGGAGGAACACCAGUGGCGAAGGGCGGCGACCCUGGACGGACACUGACGCUGAGACGCGAAAGCGUGGGGAGCAAACAGG
rnacentral:rRNA from 1 species